rnacentral:rRNA from 1 species
AGAGUUUGAUCAUGGCUCAGAACGAACGCNNGGCGGCAGGCUAACACAUGCAAGUCGAGCGGGCCCUUCGGGGUCAGCGGCGGACGGGUUAGUAACGCGUGGGAACGUCCCUUUGCUCCGGAAUAGCCCUGGGAAACCGGGGGUAAUACCGGAUGUGCCCUGAGGGGGAAAGGUUUACCGGCAAGGGAUCGGCCCGCGUCUGAUUAGGUAGUUGGUGGGGUAAUGGCCCACCAAGCCUACGAUCGGUAGCUGGUUUGAGAGGAUGAUCAGCAACACUGGGACUGAGACACGGCCCAGACUCCUACGGGAGGCAGCAGUGGGGAAUCUUAGACAAUGGGCGAAAGCCUGAUCUAGCCAUGCCGCGUGGGUGAUGAAGGCCUUAGGGUCGUAAAGCCCUUUCGCCGGGGAAGAUAAUGACGGUACCCGGUAAAGAAACCCCGGCUAACUCCGUGCCAGCAGCCGCGGUAAUACGGAGGGGGUUAGCGUUGUUCGGAAUGACUGGGCGUAAAGCGCGCGUAGGCGGAUCGCAAAGUCGGGGGUGAAAUCCCGGGGCUCAACCCCGGAAUGGCCUUCGAGACUCGCGGUCUGGAGUUCGAGAGAGGUGGGUGGAAUUCCGAGUGUAGAGGUGAAAUUCGUAGAUAUUCGGAGGAACACCAGUGGCGAAGGCGGCCCACUGGCUCGACACUGACGCUGAGGCGCGAAAGCGCGGGGAGCAAACAGGAUUAGAUACCCUAGUAGUCC